AUAUCCUUACCAGUGCUCAUAUAUACUAAAAUUGGGACCAUACAGAGAAGAUCAGGAUGGCCCAUUCACAAGGAUGAAAUGCAGAUUUGUGAAGCGUUCUGUAUUUUU